rnacentral:rRNA from 1 species
GACGAACGAUGGCGGCGUGCUUAACACAUGCAAGUCGAACGAUGAAGCUGGAGCUUGCUCCGGUGGAUUAGUGGCGAACGGGUGAGUAACACGUGAGCAAGCUGCCCUUGACUCUGGGAUAACUGCGGGAAACUGUAGCUAAUUCCGGAUACGAGGCUCGAAGGAAUCAUAGGGUUUGGGAAGAAUUUCGGUCAAGGAUGAUCUCGCGGCCUAUCAGCUAGUUGGUGAGGUAAUGUCUCACCAAGGAGACGACAGGUAGCCGGCCUGCGAGGGGGACCGGCCACACUGGUACGGAGACACGGCCCAGAGUCGUACGGGAGGCAGCAUUGUGGAAUAUUGCACAAUUGGCGAAAGCCUGAUGCAGCAACGCCGCGUGAGGGAUUAAGUCCUUCGUGUUUUAAACCGCUUUUAGCAGGGAAGAAGCGAAAUUGACGGUACCUGCAGAAAAAGCACCGGCUAACUACGUGCCAGCAGCCGCGGUAA